UACGUAGGUGGCGAGCGUUGUCCGGAUUUACUGGGCGUAAAGGGCGCGUAGGCGGGAUGGUAAGUCGGUCGUGAAAUCCCUCGGCUCAACCGAGGAACGUCGAUCGAUACUACCGUUCUUGAGGAUUGCAGAGGAGACGUGGAAUUCCCGGUGUAGCGGUGAAAUGCGUAGAUAUCUGGAGGAACACCGGUGGCGAAGGCGGCAUCCUGGACCGGCAUUGACGCUGAGGAGCGAAAGCCAGGGGAGCCAAACGGG
rnacentral:rRNA from 1 species